rnacentral:rRNA from 1 species
GAUGAACGCUGGCGGCGUGCUUAACACAUGCAAGUCGAACGGAAAGGCCCAAGCUUGCUUGGGUACUCGAGUGGCGAACGGGUGAGUAACACGUGGGUGAUCUGCCCUGCACUUCGGGAUAAGCCUUGGAAACUGGGUCUAAUACCGGAUAGGACCACAUUUUGGAUGGUGUGGUGGAAAGUUUUUCGGUGUGGGAUGAGCUCGCGGCCUAUCAGCUUGUUGGUGGGGUAAUGGCCUACCAAGGCGUCGACGGGUAGCCGGCCUGAGAGGGUGUACGGCCACAGUGGGACUGAGAGACGGCCCAGACGCCUACGGGUGGGAGAAGUGGGGAAUAUUGCACAAUGGGCGCAAGCCUGAUGCAGCGACGCCGCGUGGGGGAUGACGGCCUUCGGGUUGUAAACUCCUUUCGCUAGGGACGAAGCGUUAUGUGACGGUACCUGGAGAAGAAGCACCGGCUAACUACGUG